GAUGAACGCUGGCGGCGUGCCUAAUACAUGCAAGUAGAACGCUGAAGGAGGAGCUUGCUCUUCUGGAUGAGUUGCGAACGGGUGAGUAACGCGUAGGUAACCUGCCUGGUAGCGGGGGAUAACUAUUGGAAACGAUAGCUAAUACCGCAUGACAACAGUUAUUGCAUGAUAACUGUUUAAAAGGGGCAACUGCUCCACUACCAGAUGGACCUGCGUUGUAUUAGCUAGUUGGUGAGGUAACGGCUCACCAAGGCGACGAUACAUAGCCGGCCUGAGAGGGUGAUCGGCCAAACUGGGACUGAGACACGGCCCAGACUCCUACGGGAGGCAGCAGUAGGGAAUCUUCGGCAAUGGACGGAAGUCUGACCGAGCAACGCCGCGUGAGUGAAGAAGGUUUUCGGAUCGUAAAGCUCUGUUGUAAGAGAAGAACGAGUGUGAGAGUGGAAAGUUCACACUGUGACGGUAUCUUACCAGAAAGGGACGGCUAACUACGUG
rnacentral:rRNA from 1 species